rnacentral:rRNA from 1 species
UACGUAGGGAGCAAGCGUUGUCCGGAUUUAUUGGGCGUAAAGAGCUCGUAGGCGGUUCCGUAAGUCGGGUGUGAAAAAUCUGGGCUCAACCCAGUGGAGCACUCGAUACUGCGGUGACUCGAGUCCGGUAGGGGAGUGUGGAAUUCCUGGUGUAGCGGUGAAAUGCGCAGAUAUCAGGAGGAACACCAGCGGCGAAGGCGGCGCUCUGGGCCGGAACUGACGCUGAGGAGCGAAAGCGUGGGUAGCAAACAGG